GAUGAAUGCUGGCGGCGUGCCUAACACAUGCAAGUCGAGCGGCAGCGAGGGGUGCUUGCACCCUGUCGGCGAGCGGCGAACGGCUGAGUAACGCGUAGGAAUUUGCCCCAAAGUGAGGAAUAACUGCCCGAAAGGGUAGCUAAUGCCGCAUAUGGUCUUCGGAUUAAAGGAUUUAUCCGCUUUGGGAGAAGCCUGCGUUGGAUUAGGUUGUUGGUAGGGUAAUGGCCUACCAAGCCGACGAUCCAUAGCUGGUCUGAGAGGAUGAUCAGCCAGACUGGAACUGAGACACGGUCCAGACUCCUACGGGAGGCAGCAGUGAGGAAUCUUCCACAAUGGGCGAAAGCCUGAUGGAGCAACGCCGCGUGAAGGGUGAAGGCCUUCGGGUUGUAAACUUCUUUUAUGAGUGAAGAAUAUGACGGUAACUCAUGAAUAAGCACCGGCUAACUACGUG
rnacentral:rRNA from 1 species